GUCACUAAAGCUUUUAAAGAAGCACCAAUCUUGUAAAUUGGAAGAAGAAUAAAAAAUUCUAGUUACA
rnacentral:tRNA from 1 species